rnacentral:rRNA from 1 species
AGUGAACGCUGGCGGUAGGCCUAACACAUGCAAGUCGAACGGCAGCACAGUAAGAGCUUGCUCUUACGGGUGGCGAGUGGCGGACGGGUGAGGAAUACAUCGGAAUCUACUUUUUCGUGGGGGAUAACGUAGGGAAACUUACGCUAAUACCGCAUACGACCUACGGGUGAAAGCAGGGGAUCUUCGGACCUUGCGCGAUUGAAUGAGCCGAUGUCGGAUUAGCUAGUUGGCGGGGUAAAGGCCCACCAAGGCGACGAUCCGUAGCUGGCCUGAGAGGAUGAUCAGCCACACUGGAACUGAGACACGGUCCAGACUCCUACGGGAGGCAGCAGUGGGGAAUAUUGGACAAUGGGCGCAAGCCUGAUCCAGCCAUACCGCGUGGGUGAAGAAGGCCUUCGGGUUGUAAAGCCCUUUUGUUGGGAAAGAAAAGCAGCAGGCUAAUACCCCGCUGUUCUGACGGUACCCAAAGAAUAAGCACCGGCUAACUUCGUG